CACCGAUACAUUUGCUUUGCCUUGCACUGGUUCAUAUUUCGACACAAGCUUCGAAGCAGGAGGGCCGGAGGCAGAAGAGGAAGAGCAAGUGGAGAUGAUGUCUGCAUCUUUUACAAAUAAGUAAAAAGCAGGCUCAAAUUUACAAACAGUGCGAGUGAGUUUUGGGUGAAAAACAGUGAUUCCUCUGAUGUCUCUAUACUCUUUGGCCGGGUGAUUCAACGUAUAGACAACAGAAGGUGGAUCAGCACCCUAGAGAGAGGGCUAGCGCAAAUCGUGGCACCGGCAACUCGCUGAGGCACUUGAUGCAGGAUGCGAUGCCGCGGCGAAUCGUGGCAGCUGCCUCAAGUUUACGCCAACUGCCUCGUCUGUUGCCUCGGCUGAGUGAGGUACCUCGAGCGGUACCACGAAUUCAGGGGCCGGUUCAUCGGUCGAGAGAGGUAUCUCUAGCGGUACCUCAAGUUAAAGGAGUCUUGCCACGACCUGCAACAACCAAAGGGAGCUGUGCCUUGGCUGAUGUAGGUACCGGGAGUUUAAGGGAGA